ensembl:lncRNA
AACCUGAGGCUAUCGGCUCCUAGGCUGCAGAGUCACCGGCAGAGGACGGGAACGCUCUCUGAAUGAAACUGAUCACAGCGAGGCAGCAGUGCCGGGAGGACCAACCCCACGUCCAAGGAGCGGUGGCUGCGCAGGCGCAAAAGGGCCUAGAGGAGCUAUUCCACGUUGAAGGUCAGGAACGGCGGCGGUGAGGAGAUACCCCUCGUCCAACGUAAGGAGCAGCGGCUGCACUUUGCUGGAGCAGCCGUGAAGAGAUACCCCACGCCCAAGGAGUUGAACCUGAGAAGCCUGGAUGAGAGAGAACCAUCAGUCCUAGCCACAGGACCAGCAAGGGCUAGAGGCUAGAAGCUAUCUUCCCCUGGAUGUUUGUCUCCAUUGAAAAUCGCACUUAUCCCAGAGGCACAAACUGUAAAUACAGGCCAAUUAUCUGGUUCCUUUAUCCACACCUGACCUACCUUGGGACACUCCCCUGGUGUGCAUACACCCCUCAGCCAAGACGGAUCUCAACGUGAAGGCUUCUGGGAGAAGAAAGACUCAUUAUGGCCUGGCGUUAUCCCUUGACCUUUGUCCCACAAGGAGUUUUUCUGCACAUGUGUAGAGUCUCCCUUGUCCCAAAAGAGGGGCAAGUGGAGAUACCUUAAUCCUUUACUCAAACAGGCUUCUGUCCCUCUUUGCCCUCACCUUGACUACUGCCAUGACUAUUAUCUUAAGAGACAAACACUAUUAUCUACAAGAGAGAAACAUUGGCUAUUCACCCUGUUUCUGUUGUUACUUCCAUUUCAG